AACAUCUGAGAACAAUAAAAUAAAUUAACCAUUUUAACAAUAGUAGUGCUGACACACAGUAGCAACCAGCAGCAUUUCUUUAUUAUUUUUACUUCUACCUUUCUCAGCCCCCAUGCUUACCAACUUGCUACAUAUAUUGCAUUUGGCCUUCCCUGGUGUUGGCUGGGUGAAGCGCUGCCAUAAGGGGGUGGUUUUCUUUUCAGCUAUCAGACUUAAUGACUAAAAAAGGGGGAAAAUACAAGGUUAAGUUAGUAUUUUUGUAUAGUAUCUUCAUCUUCAAGUCAUUUUAUAGAUAGGUAUAGAUAUAAAAUCUAA